AACAAAGUACCUUAUUAAGGGCUACCUUGAUGCGGUUGACAUGUUUACAACCUUUGUUA
rnacentral:tRNA from 1 species